ACACUCAGGGAGUACACCAUGUGAAGACUGGACUUAAACAGCUACACCACCAGAAGCCGAGAGAGAGGCUGGAACAUAGCCUUCCCUUUGGAGCCCUAGCAGAUGCUAAUCCAGCGUGCGUCCUGACAGAGGUUGAAGGGGGCUUCUCAAGUCCCAGGUCCAGCUUGGUGUGGUUCAGCUACUCAAGAGACAUCUGCUGCUAAUGGAUGAGCAGUCAACCUGGACGCAGGAAAUCAUUUUUUAUUUGGAAUAACUGGGAGAUGAAACAGGAAGCUCUAUGACACACUUGAUCGAAUAUGACAGACACCGAAAAUCACGACUCAGCCCCCUCCAGCACCUCUACCUGUUGCCCGCCGAUCACAGCCGGAAUGCAGCUGAAAGAUUCCCUGGGGCCUGGUUCCAACCGCCCACUGUGGACUCUGAGGCCUCUGCAUUUGCGGGUGGUCUGCCUGUGAUAUUUUGGUCAUGGGCUGGUCUGGUCGGUUUCCCAUUUGUCUGGCCAGUCUCUAUGUGUCUUAAUCCCUUGUCCUUCAUUAAAAGCAAAACUAAAGAAAACAGAAAAAAAAAAAAA
rnacentral:lncRNA from 1 species